rnacentral:rRNA from 1 species
AUGGCCAUACACAUUUGCAUUUUACACAAAGAAUCCACGGCAUAUAUUGCGUGCAAGGAGCUUAGUGUGGUUGUGUCCUUCUCACAAAAUCUGCAAGAUACUGUGUGCUGCAACAAGGCCAUUGCUUGGUUUCUCAAACUGGCAACUCCUGAUGGAAGCCCAGUAUGCAUGCAAGUCAGGAUUCAUGGUAACUUUUCUGUGCUCGCUUAUUCGGUGCUUGAGGCUAUGGAUUUUUCUUGGAGAAGAACACUUUUCAGUACCAACUUUAAUAUUAUGCCUACACCUGAAGUAGCAGCAGCUGUGCACAAAAUUCUUUCUUCAGUUCCCUUGCUAUGA